GGUUUACCUGUGUGACUGCGUACCUUUUGUAUAAUGGGUCAGCGACUUAUAUUCUGUAGCAAGGUUAACCGAAUAGGGGAGCCGGAGGGAAACCGAGUCUUAAUUGGGCGUUAAGUUGCAGGGUAUAGACCCGAAACCCGGUGAUCUAGCCAUGGGCAGGUUGAAGGUUGGGUAACACUAACUGGAGGACCGAACCGACUAAUGUUGAAAAAUUAGCGGAUGACCUGUGGCUGGGGGUGAAAGGCCAAUCAAACCGGGAGAUAGCUGGUUCUCCCCGAAAGCUAUUUAGGUAGCGCCUCGUGAAUUCAUCUCCGGGGGUAGAGCACUGUUUCGGCUAGGGGGCCAUCCCGGCUUACCAACCCGAUGCAAACUGCGAAUACCGGAGAAUGUUAUCACGGGAGACACACGGCGGGUGCUAACGUCCGUCGUGAAGAGGGAAACAACCCAGACCGCCAGCUAAGGUCCCAAAGUCAUGGUUAAGUGGGAAACGAUGUGGGAAGGCCCAGACAGCCAGGAUGUUGGCUUAGAAGCAGCCAUCAUUUAAAGAAAGCGUAAUAGCUCACUGGUCGAGUCGGCCUGCGCGGAAGAUGUAACGGGGCUAAACCAUGCACCGAAGCUGCGGCAGCGACGCUGAUGCGUUGUUGGGUAGGGGA
rnacentral:rRNA from 1 species